UUGCCUUAGUAACGGCGAGUGAAGCGGCAACAGCUCAAAUUUGAAAUCUGGCCCUCGGGUCCGAAUUGUAAUUUGUAGAGGAUGAUUUUGGUGCGGUAUCUUCCGAGUUCCUUGGAACAGGACGCCUUAGAGGGUGAGAGCCCCGUACGGUUGAAUGCCUAGCCUCUGUAAAUCUCCUUCGACGAGUCGAGUAGUUUGGGAAUGCUGCUCUAAAUGGGAGGUAAAUUUCUUCUAAAGCUAAAUAUUGGCCAGAGACCGAUAGCGCACAAGUAGAGUGAUCGAAAGAUGAAAAGCACUUUGAAAAGAGGGUUAAAUAGCACGUGAAAUUGUUGAAAGGGAAGGAUUUGUGACCAGACUUUUUCUGGGCGGAUCAUCCGGGGUUCUCUCCGGUGCACUUUGCCCAGUAAAGGCCAGCAUCGAUUUUCGGCGGCGGAUAAAAGCAGUGGGAAUGUGGCUCCCUACGGGGAGUGUUAUAGCCCAUUGUAUAAUACGCUGCUGGGGAUCGAGGUACGCGCUUCUGCAAGGAUGCUGGCGUAAUGGUUAUCAAUCACCCGCUA
rnacentral:rRNA from 1 species